rnacentral:rRNA from 1 species
AGAGCGAACGCUGGCGGCAGGCCUAACACAUGCAAGUCGAGCGCCCGUAGCAAUACGGGAGCGGCAGACGGGAUAGUAACACGUGGGAACGCGCCCUUCGGUUCGGAAUAACUCAGGGAAACUUGAGCUAAUACCGGAUACGCCCUUACGGGGAAAGAUUUAUUGCCGAAGGAACGGCCCGCGUCCGAUUAGCUAGUUGGUGAGGUAAUGGCUCACCAAGGCGACGAUCGGUAGCUGGUCUGAGAGGAUGACCAGCAUCACUGGGACUGAGACACGGCCCAGACUCCUACGGGAGGCAGCAGUGGGGAAUAUUGGACAAUGGGCGCAAGCCUGAUCCAGCCAUGCCGCGUGGAUGAUGAAGGCCUUAGGGUUGUAAAGUCCUUUUAACGGGGAAGAUAAUGACGGUACCCGUAGAAUAAGCCCCGGACUAACUUCGUGCCAGCAGCCGC